rnacentral:rRNA from 1 species
CAAGUAAGACUAGUGUUAUUCAUCUUAAUUAGGUUUAAAGGGUACCUAGACAGUAUUUCUAGCCUCCAAAGGGAACAGAUUUACUAGAGUUUUAUGUGAGAGGAAAUAUUAGAACCAUUGGAGUAGUGAUAAAAUGUUUUGAUUUACUAAUGGGACGGAUAACGGCGAAGGCAAACCUCUAUGUAAUAACUGACGUUGAGGGACGAAGGCUUGGGUAGCGAAUAGGAUU